GACGAACGCUGGCGGCGUGCUUAACACAUGCAAGUCGAACGGAAAGGCCCUGCUUGCAGGGUACUCGAGUGGCGAACGGGUGAGUAACACGUGGGUGAUCUGCCCUGCACUUCGGGAUAAGCUUGGGAAACUGGGUCUAAUACCGGAUAGGAGCCAUCUUUAGUGUGGUGGUUGGAAAGUUUUUUCGGUGUAGGAUGAGCUCGCGGCCUAUCAGCUUGUUGGUGGGGUAAUGGCCUACCAAGGCGGCGACGGGUAGCCGGCCUGAGAGGGUGUACGGCCAGAUUGGGACCGAGCUACGGCCCAGACUCGUACGGGAGGCAGCAGUGGGGAAUAUUGCACAAUGGGCGCAAGCCUGAGGCAGCGACGCCGCGUGGGGGAUGAAGGCCUUCGGGUUGUGAACACCUUUCGCUAGGGACGAAGCUUUUUUGUGACGGUACCUAGAGAAGAAGCACCGGCUAACUACGUG
rnacentral:rRNA from 1 species